CCUACGGGUGGCUGCAGUGGGGGAUAUUGCACAAUGGGGGGAACCCUGAUGCAGCGACGCCGCGUGGGUGAAGAAGCGCCUCGGCGCGUAAAGCCCUGUCAGCAGGGAAGAAAAUGACGGUACCUGAAGAAGAAACCCCGGCUAACUACGUGCCAGCAGCCGCGGUAAUACGUAGGGGGCAAGCGGUAUCCGGAUUUACUGGGUGGAAAGGGGGCGCUGACGGCCAUGCAAGCCAGGAGUGAAAGCCCAGGGCCCAACCCCGGGACUGCUUUUGGAACUGCGUGGCUGGAGUGCAGGAGGGGUAGGUGGAAUUCCUGGUGUAGCGGUGAAAUGCGUAGAUAUUAGGAGGAACACCGGUGGCGAAGGCGGCCUGCUGGACUGCAACUGACGUUGAGGCCCGAAAGCGUGGGGAGCAAACAGGAUUAGAUACCCUUGUAGUC
rnacentral:rRNA from 1 species